GGCUCAGGAUGAACGCUAGCUACAGGCUUAACACAUGCAAGUCGAGGGGCAGCAUUGAGAUAGCUGCUAUUCAGAUGGCGACCGGCGCACGGGUGAGUAACGCGUAUCCAACCUUCCCCUAGUAGAGGAUAGCCCGGCGAAAGUCGGAUUAAUACUCUAUGUUGUAUUUUGAGGACAUCUGACGAAUACCAAAGAUUUAUCGCUAAGGGAUGGGGAUGCGUCUGAUUAGCUUGUUGGCGGGGUAACGGCCCACCAAGGCGACGAUCAGUAGGGGUUCUGAGAGGAAGGUCCCCCACAUUGGUACUGAGACACGGACCAAACUCCUACGGGAGGCAGCAGUGAGGAAUAUUGGUCAAUGGGCGAGAGCCUGAACCAGCCAAGUAGCGUGCAGGAAGAACCUGCCCUAUGGGUUGUAAACUGCUUUUAUCAGGGAAUAAAGUGCGGCACGUGUGCUGUUUUGUAUGUACCUGAUGAAUAAGGACCGGCUAAUUCCGUGCCAGCAGCAGC
rnacentral:rRNA from 1 species